ensembl:lncRNA
GUUUUUUAUUCCAUUUCUUUCCUGGGCUUAAUCUUUAUUUCUUCCAGCUUUUAUCCAUUUCUGUUCUUAGUUUCUGAAUUUCUAAUUCUAGGGUUCUUUUCAUAUCUUCAAGUGCUUGAAUGAGAAUAUAUGAAUCUGUUGAGUGUUGACUUACAAAUUUCUUCUGCUUCAAGGUUUUUGUCAUGGAAGGUGGGUUGUUACUCAGUUGAUAUAUGUAAAAAUUUCUUUCCUGAUUUUUUUCAAUGGCUCUGUAUGCAUUUGUUGAUAUUUCUUUUCAUUUUUAUGGUAUUGUGGUGAUUUAUAAGAUUCCUAGCUUAAUGGCUACAUCUUCUAGCAAUAUAACAAGGUCCAUAAGUUUUAGGAUUAUUUGGUUCACUUGUUUUAGUAGUGGGAGGAAGAGCUGUCAGUCCCCCAGUGUUGUGUUUCUCUUUGAUAGUGCAGGACUCAAAAUUUUCCAACUUUUGCUUCUUCUUCCCUUCACCACCCAACUGAAAAUGGUGCUUCUCCUUUCCUUUUUGUCUCUUUUUCUUCCCAUAACUAUGUUUUGAAUAAUGCUCUUUAAAUAACCCCUGGCCCUUUUAAUCACAUGUACUCUGAAGUCAUUUCCCUGUAGUCCAUGUUAUGCCCUGCCCAGAUACUGUUAUCAUAUUUUCAUAUGGAGGGUAAACUUAAUCUUUUUGAUGGUGUUUUUUGAUAAGCCUUAAGCCCCUUUGGUAGUUUCCCUUUGUUGACUUUCCCAGAGUUUUUCUCAGUCUGCCUUUACCCACUAGAGAGCCUCAUGGCAGUUCAGGGGUCAAGCUAGAGUGUGAGAGAUCAUGCACUGGAAUGUGAUUUUUCUGUUUUUAGUCACAGUCAUUUUAAAGUUUUGGCAGGCUCUGCCUUCAAGUUAUCCUGAGGGCAUGGUUUUAUCUAGAUUUACAUAUCCUAUCUUGUUUUGAAUCAUUUGAGGAGGAAAUAUAGGGAGGCAAGUUAGCCAGGCAUUUAUUACUGUCUUCAGCUACCCCAAAGACCUGAGUUAUAGUUGUUUUGAAGUUCUCGUCUGCUGACUUCAGUUGUGUGGAUCAUCUGUCUAUUUGCUUUUAUUGUUUUUUUUCCUCUUGACUCUUGGUCAUAUGACCUUGCCUCUUCACAGGUCUUAUAAUUCCUGAUUGUAGGUAGGAUGUUGUGUAUAAAAGACUCAUAGAGGUUCCAGAUAUUAUUACAUUGCACAAGAAAAAACUUCCCCUUUGCCUCUUGCUCCUAAGUUUUAUAUACUGGACAAAUCUCCAUCCUCCCAAAAUUCACAUAUUGAAGCUCUAACCCCCAAUGUGACUGUAUCUGGAGAUGGGGCCUCUAAUGAAGUAAUUAAGAUUCAAUGAGAUCAUAAGAGUGGGGCCCUAUUCUGAUAGGACUAGUGCCCUUAUAAGAUGAGAAAGAGAACUCCCUGUUUUCAUGCACUAAGGAAAGGCCAUGUGACGUCACAGAGAGAAGAUGACCAUCAGCAAGCCAGGAAGAGAGCUCUUCCCAGAAAUCAAAUUGGCUGGAACCUUGAUCUUGGACUUCCCAACCUCUAGAACUAAAAGAAGCUGAAGAUCAAGACUUGGAAAGAGUAGCACGUUUCUUAGUGAAGAAACAGCCAAGAAAAUUACUGCUCUCCUAGCUCAAUGAGAAGCAUUAAUUAAAGGCUUUGAAGCGCAGCUGCACCCUCACUCAUGAGCACAGAGAACAGCUCUCACAGAAGACAAACGGAAGUUGUGGCAUGUGGGAUGCUGCCUCAGCGUGGCCUGAUGAGCGGUGCCAUGUCCGUGCCGAGGAUUCGAACUGAUGAAACCCUGGGCUGCUAAAGCAGAGCGUGUGAAGUUAAUCACUCGGCCAUGGGGCCGGCCCCUAACUCACAUUUUUUAAUAAAUAUUUUUAUUUUAAGAUAAUUUUACGUUAAUGUAAGAGUUGAAAAAUAGUACAGAGAGUUCCCGUGUAUACUUCGUUUAGCUUCCCUUAAUGUUAACACCUUACAGAACCAAAAAGAUGAGUACUUCUCUCUAAACUAAGAAAUUACCAUUGGUAUAGUACUAUUAAACUACAGACUUUGUUCAGAUUACACCAGUUUUUCUGUUAAUAUCCUUUCUUCAUAUUCCAG